rnacentral:lncRNA from 1 species
UGUCUAAUAGGUAUUUGAUGAGCCGGGUUUUGGAGGGUCCAAGAGGACUGGGUCCGAACUGAGGCUGGCCAACGACUCACGUUUGCCUACUUUCGUUUUAGAUUUGACAUGGGAAUUAUCGUUACCGAUGGGUGCUGACCGUGAUCACGAGUAUUGCAAUCUGACGGCUGAGAGUGAGUCUUCAUAUUCCUUUGGCAAAAUAAGGUCUCUUGGAUGGAGGGUGAUGGUAGUGGGGUGUCACGGAGACCCAUUGAUUGACCGUCAGAUGGAGCUCGCUUCGCGGUUACAGAAGCAGGGUGUGGAUGUGGUGGCCCACUUUGAUGUUGGAGGCUAUCACGCCGUUAAACUUGAAGAUCCUGAGAAAGCAAAACAAUUUUUCGUAAUCCUGAAAAAAUUUGUUGAUUCUUGUACAAUAAAGAUUUGAUAAUCACAUUUGGGCAUUGUUUUUAGAAUAAGGUUAAUAUUAACUCCACCAUUGGUUGAAAGUACGUUGUAGAUAGAGCAUUUUCAACUCCAUCAUUGGUUGAGUGUAAUGUGUAACUCUUGAAUUACUGAAUAAUUAUUUGUCAUGUGACAUACUAUCCUACAUUUUACAGACAAAAAAUAAACUUACAUAGCAUAUGCAUUCCGUCAUAUAAGCUACUGAUUUUUUAAGUAAAUUGCUUCCCCUCCCUGACGCCGCCCCCCGACACCCCUUCUACCCCAACACAAUGACUUUUAUACCCCUCCUUCAUAAUUGCUUUUUCACCAUUUGUUCCUCCAACCAAACCAACCUAUGCGUUUUUUUUUCAGUUUUGUUUAUGCGCUUUAAUUUUUUUUCCCAGCUUUAUUUUAUUUUUAUGUAGUUUUGUUUCUUUAACUUUAUUAUUUUUUUAUUAUUAUUUUUUAUUUUCAAUUUUUGUUUUUUUUUUUUUUUUGACACAAUCAUUGUCAGAGUCCUCCCCCUCCCCUUUUCCCUUAACCUCCCCAACCGGGAGCAUAUUAGAGACAAUAUUGAUUUAUUUACAUUUUAUAUAUUUUCAUGUAUCUUUUGUUUGGUGUAUUAAUUACAUAUACUUUUCCCUGAAAACAUGGUUAAAGUAAUAUUGGCCUAAAAGACCUUCAUUUUGAAAAAGUGUUUUGUUUGCAAGUUAUUAGUGUGUUUGCUUAAAGAACGGGGACGAAGCCUAGGGGGAGGGCGGGUAGGAAGAAAAGUAAAAAAGAGGCGGUCAAGGAAGAAGAAGGGGCGGGAAGGGGGGGGGGGGGGACGACAAGAAAUAGAGGAGAACGGAUAGGCAAUGACGAAAGCACAGAUAAUGGGUAGAGAAUUGAAGAAGGGCGGGGAAAGGCAAAUUGGGGGGGGACAGGGGCGUGGGAAAGAGAACACGGUCUUCUUCUUCUUUUUCUUCUUUUGGUUUAUUUUCAUAUAUAUAACUUUUUAUUUUAAUCCAUAUUUUUAUACUUUUUUAAAAUUUUUACAUAAUGACUCCCCCAAAAUCUACAACUAAAAAAUUAAAUAAAGAAUUACAAAUAUAUAAUAAAAAAAUAUUUAUCCCAAAAAAAAUUAAACUGAUAAAAAUAAAAAAUAAAUUUACUUAAAAAAAACUAAAAAAAUGACGUGGGUGGGUGAGGCUAGGGGAGUGGAAUGGUAGGUAAUGUUAUUAUUGUAAUUGUUCUGGGUGGGUGGGAAGUAGCUCUCUGUUUUUAAAGUUAGGUUGGAUGUGCUUUUGGGGCAAAAGUUGAAGUUACUAGAGGGCAAAUGGACUAAAAUGGUCGGUCUUUCUGAUUCCAAGUUAUUAUAACCAUGUCCCUUUAUUUUACAUUAAGGUUCUGUUUCUUAAUGCUUAAAAAUUAAGUUUUUUUUAAAUUUGCUAUUAAAAAUAUCAAAAUUUUUUAAUUUAUUUUGUUUUUGUGGCUUUAUUUUAAAUAAAAUUAAGCAAAAAAACAAAUAGAAAAGCAAAAAAGUCAACUCUGAUUGAUUUUUUUACUUAUUUUAAGCAAAAAAAACCAAAAAAAAACUCAAAAAAACUGGUGCCAAACGUAGCCUGAGUAAAGUCAAGGACGCUGAAAAACUAAAAAAAAAAAAAUUGUUAUUCAAUUUUUGCAAUGAAUACUAAUUUUCAACUUUCACAAGUUGAUCAGCACCGCUACAAUCUCAAUUCUAUAAUCUUCGGCAAAAUCUUCAACUAUGAUACCUAGAAAGAAACAGGUCAGCUACACAUGAGCAAAACAAACUACAAACUAAACAACUAAAAGACCUCUAACAGAAAACAAAAACAUUUUAAAAACGUAAAAAGAAUUAGAAGGAAGUUGCUCAGAUCAAAUACAACCUUUUAUGAGAAAAGCAUUUAAGAAAAUAAUACAAAAUGAUAGGUUCUAAUAAGGGGUGGAGCCAGAAAUUAAGUCUAACGAGGUUAAAAUUGCUAAAAUUUAUAUUUAACUGGAUUAGAUAUGGGUAAAGAACGCCUUAGCAAAACAAACCGAAAACGUCGUAUAUAAACCAUACCAUUCAUGAUUUUAGUAUACCCUUGCAUGUUGAUUAGAAAUUAUAUUUGGUAGAUACCAAAAAUACAAGGGGGAAAAACAAAGAAUUGGAAGGUCAUACUUAGGUACAAAGUGUUGUUAUUAGCAAGAGCGGCGCCACAGCUAAGCUGAUGGGGUAGCCUUUGAAUAAUGUCUAAAAAAAAAUUUUUUUUUUUUUAGUGAUACAUAUAUUUUUUUAAAAAAUUGAACUCAUAAAAAAAAUAUAUUUGAUCCCAUUAAUCUACACCAUUUUACCCCCAAAAGGCAUUUUUGGUAUCGAGAGUUGUUCAAACGGGAACUGCCACGUGGACUAUUUCCCGCCACAAUUCUCCUCACCCAAAAGACAUUUUCUAUAUCGAGAGCAUAGUUAUUAAAACCGGACCGAACCGGCCGGUUCAACCGAGAAUCGGGCACUAAACCGGUUCGGUACAACUAUUUUACCGGAAAUGCAAGCGAACCGGAUUGAACCGGACGGUUUUUAACCGUGUUGAAACCGGCCGUUUUUUAACAGAAAAAUUAAAUUUUUAUUUUUACAGUUUGCCCCAAAUUUCGAGGGAAAUUUUAUUUUUACAGUUUGACUCCCAAAAUUUUGAAUUGAAUUUGUUAUUUUUUAAUAAUUUUUACUAUGAAUUAAUUUUUACUAUAAAUGAGUAAAAAAAAUAUUUUUAUUAUUUGUAAUAAUAAAAAUAUAAUUUUUAUUAUUUAUUAAUUACAAAUCCGGUUGAACCGGUUUGAACCGUGGUUGAACUACAGUGAAGCCGUUGAACCGGUGCUUUGACCGGUUCAUGGUCCGGUUCGGUUCUGAUAACUAUGAUCGAGAGUUGUUCAAACGGGACUGCACGUGUAUACAUUUCCUGCCACAACUCUCCUCGCUCAUUAUAUGAUUUGUCUCUUUCACUUGUAAGUUGUAACAACUCAUUUAGGCUCCGUUUGGUAAUGCCUUAAAACCAAGCUUAUUUUUAAGUUGCUAUCAAAAAGUUAAGAAUUUUUUUAAUUUUUUUCUUUUAUAGCUUUACUUUAGCUAAAAUUAAGCAAAAACGGCAAAAACAGAAAAGCAAAAAACUCAACUCUGAUUGACUUUUUGACUUAUUUUAAGUCAAAAAAUCAAAAAAAAAACUAAAAAAAACUGAUGCCAAACGGAGCCUUAAUGCUCCUAUUUAUCUAUCUCUAUAUAUAUACCAUCACAUGACUUGGAAAUGGCAGAUAUCUGUUCCCAAAAUUAGGUGUAAAUUACACUUUGCAAACUUGCCCUUUAUUUUCAUUGUCACUUUGUACCCUUGACUUCUAAUUAGUAGUACAAUCUAAGUUUCACACUAUAAGAUAGUUAGGCUGAACCAGAUGGAAUCGAGAUGUAAAAAGCAAAAAUUGGAUAAAAUAUAAGGGUAAGAAGUGUGAUUUAUCUAUAAAUUUUGUUAAUGGAUUAAUAUGGUACUUAUUCACCUUUUCCCAUGUGCUCUCCUUUUUGGCCUUUUUUUGGUCCAUUUUUUAAUGUGAUCUGGCUAAAAAUUUGGCCACAUAAAGAAGAUAUUGCAUAUUUAACUUGUCUGUUGCUUUAUAAAAUUAUUAUUGAUUUUAACCAGUCCCAACUGCAAACAUUACGAAAGAGCUUUUUUAACAAAAAUGGGGGAAUUCAUAAAGAACAGAUUGCGAAACCGAAUAAGAUGGGGAUCAUGGAUGAUGAUUAUUGAUGAUAUAUAUUUGAGAAUAAUGUAUUUGAAAUAUUAUUAAUAAUGAGAUCAUUUAUGCAACUGAUUUAGAAUAUGAAACCUCGUCGAGACAAUUGUUAUUGGUAAAUUUAUUCAAUAUUUUUUUAAAAAAAUUUAGUAUCAGUAUAUUUCAUUUUAUUAUUCUCAUUAUCUUAGAAUUUUGUGUUUAAAUUUUUGCAUGACACCAUUAAUAAAAAUUUCUGAAGUCGCCAUUGAAAAAAUAAUUAGUUCAGUAUAUUAUUUUAUUUCUCUUUAUUUUAGAAAUUUGUGUUAAAUUUUUCAUGACACAUUAUAAAAAAUUUCUGAAGUCGCCAUUGAAAAAAAUAUUAGUGCAGAUAUAUUAUUUUUAUUUCUUCGUAUUUUAGAAUUUGUGUUUAAAUUUUUGCAUGACACCAUUAAUAAAAAUUUCUGAAGUCGCCAUUGGUUAUUACGGAACUCAACAAAAACUCCUGUCAUAAAAAUAAAAUAAAAUUCACUAAACAUAAAAUAUCUAAAAAUUUAUUUUAUCUCAAAUGAGGCAUGAAAUCCCAAUAUUAAUGACUUAUUAUAUAUUUUUUCUUAAAAGAAUUAAAUGCUAACCCAGGUUUAAAUUAUUGUGGGAGCUCUUAUUAUUCACCAAGUAAAUUGCAUGCUCCCUCUGAUGUUGUCAAUGGGCGGGGCGGGGCCGGAGGUAUGGGGUGGGGGGUGCCCCGUCCCCGAUCCCGCAAUAAAAUUUUUCAUUCCCCAGGCCCAGCCCCGAUCCCCGGCGGGGAUUUUUUUUUUUACCCCCAUCCCGCCCCUAAGGUACCUGGGAUCCCUGCCCCGAAUCCGAACACCGAACCUCCCAGGAUCACUACCCAAAUCGGUCAUCCAAAUUUUGAAAAUCAACACCACAAAAUCAAUACUUUCCAACACAAUAAAAUCAAAAUCAAAAAUUUUAAAAUCAAACACAAAAGCCCAAACCCCAAUACCUAGAUCUGGAGACCGGUGUUCGCGACCGAAUGUAGGAGCGGUUAACGACGGCUGCGCGGACGCCGGGUCGGAACAGCCGCGGUCUCUCAUGUCAACUCCUCUUUAGCCUUGACCCCUCGUAAUGAGGAGGGUGGACGGCGCCUCCGUCGUCGACUCGUGAGGUCUGGGCCUUCGCCCUCCUGGAGGGUCUCAUGACUCUCGCAUGGUUUCUACUCUAGAGAGAGAGAGCGCGCCUGAACAAUCUGAACCAAAAAACAGAGGUGAGGGAUGAAGGGUCAUGGAUCAAGGGAAAGUGCACAAUUUAGUGUUAAUUUCACUUUUGCAUCAUUCACUUAACUAUUUAUAUUUUGGGACCUUUAUUUUUAAUUUUAAUAUUUUCGGGGUGAAUUUUCGGGAUCGGGGCGGGGAUAUACAAAAUCGUUCCCCCGCCCGUCCCCGUUUUUUUUUUUAAUCCCCGACCCCGCCCCGACCCCAAAAAAUCCCCGAAAAUUCACCCGAUCGGGGCGGGGCGGGGCAAAUUGCCAUCCCUACCCCUUCCACCCCUCUGACAGUGCCCUCCUCCCUAUCUCCACUUGUCCUCCUCGCUCUUUUACCCUUAUAAACCUCUCCCCCAUAAUUAUUUUUCGUCUUCUCCCCCACCAAAACUACCAUUAUUAACUUCUAUUUAGCUUUUUUUCAGUUAAUUUUUUUUUUGUCAGCUGCCUUUUUUUUUCAUGGAUCCCCUUUAUUUUAUGUAGUUUUAUUUUAUAGAUUUUGUUUAUUAGUUUUUGUCUAUAUUUUUUUAAUCAGUUUUGUUUAGUAUUUUGUUUAUUAAUUUUUUUGUUUAAUUUGAACCUCUCUUAUAAAUUACCCUCACCUUUACACCAUGUCAGAAUCUCUCUCUCCCUUUAAAGGACACGUGUUUAUUUAGAAUCUAUUUUUGUGUAUUAUUACAUUGUCUAUUCCCUGAACAUGGCUAACCAUCAAAUCUAUUUUUAAUCUUUUUAAAUUUUUAUAAAUAUGACUCCCAACAUCUAUAAUUAACAAAUAAUAAACGUUACAAUUUAAAACAAAAAAAAAAAAUAUUAAAAAAACAAAUGAAAACAAAAAACAAAACCAAAAAAAAAUACUAAAGAAAAACUAAAAAAAGACUAAAAAAAUAAAAAAAAACGAGAGAGAGAGCCGCGCAGCGAAACAGGGAAAAGGGGGGAGGGAAGGGAAGGAAGAGGGAAAGGGAGGGCAAUCAUUAUUUUUGAUUGUGGGGUCGGAAGAAAUUUUUGUCGGGAGUAGUGUGGGUAACGGGGGGGCGAGGUUGUUGGCGGGUUCGGCCAUCCCCCACCCCCGCCCCGUUUACCAAACCCACCCCACCCCGCCCCUUAAUUAUUUUUUUAAUUAUAUAAUAUAUUUUAUAUAUUAUGGUAUGUAUAUAAUAUAUAUUCAUAUAUAUAUAGUAUGGAUAUUAUGGUAUAUUUAAAAAACAAAUAUGAAUAAUUUUAUUUUUUAUAUAUAAUCGGGUAAUCGGGGCGGUUCGGGUGGAGGAGGCUUAAAACCCGCCCCCGCCCCAAUUAUUAAUCGGGUUUUAAUUUUCCCCACAAACCCCCUGUAAACGGGACGGGCCAACGGGUAUCGUGUUUUGUCAGGUCAAUUGCCUCCUAGUCGGGAGGGCGCGUUUAGCAUCUCCCUAUCCCAACCCUUACGUCAGAAAACCCCGGCCCCACCUUACACAAUUGCCCUAUUACCCCUUUCCUUUUCUCCUUUUUCCCUCCCAGCCCCCAGUCGCCCCCCUUCCCUUUUCCCCAUUUCCCCUCCAGGCGCCCCCCUGUUUUUCCAUUUUAUUUUCUUUUUUUUAGUUUUUUUCAUUAUUUUUAUAGGUUUAUUUUAUUAAAUUUAUUUCUUUCUUUAUCAUUUUAAUUUUUAUUUUGAAUAAAUAAUUUUUUAUUAUAUGGUUUCUAAAUCUUUUGUUUAUUUUUUAUAAAUAAUUUUUCUUUAUAAUGUGAUCAAAUUGGCAUAAUAUUUUGUUAAAAUUUCUCUCAAUUAUCAAUUUAAUACAAAACUGAUUAAAAAUAAAAUAUUUCUUUUUAUUUUUACAAAAAUAUAAGGUGAGAGUACAAUAAAUUAAUAAAAUUUUUAUCAUAAUUUUUUCGUAAAAAAUUUAGAAGUGAAAGUAAAAAGAAAAAAAAUAGAAUCAAGGGGUAUUAAAAUAAAAAAAAAGAAUAAAAUGAUUGAAUGGCUAUAUAAAAAAAUUAUGAUAAUUUUUUUUAAUUUAUUUUACUCCCAGAUUACGUUUUUUAUUAAAAAAAAUAUGGAUCAUAAAAAUAAUUUUGAGAUAAAAAAUUUUGGAGCUGGGAGUAAAAGAAAUUAUAAAAUUUUUUAGAUAAAAAUUCGGAAGGUGAAAGUAAAAAAAAAACCACAAAAAAAAAUUGAUCAAGUUUUUUUAAUAAAUAACCAAGAAUUGAUCAAUUUUUUAAACACAUAAGAAUUUAUUUAUUUAAUUUUUUUAUAAUACCAUCUCUUUUUUCGAUUUUUUUAUUAAAUUUUUAAACACUUAAUUUUUUUUAUUAGUUUUAGUUGUCAUAAAAACACAUAAAAAACUAUUGCUCGUAUUCGAGUCAAUCACUUCGUUCAAGUUUUUUUACGCCCUCAUUACCCUGUACCACCCACCCUAGUAUGGAUGGCAGGCAACAUGUACAUCAAAGAUAAGGAUGCGUUGAUAGUUAUAUUAUACGAAUGAAUUUGUGAUAAAAAAUAAUGGGUGAGAGAAUCGUUGUGCUCCGAUGAGAGUUUGGAUGAGAUAUUGAUUAGAAAUUAUGUUCUUAGUAAUAUUGAAUUUACUAUUGUAUUGAUAUGAUAAAAGUUAUUAUUUUUUUAUGUGUUUUAUGACAAACAAAACUAAUAAAAAAAAUUCAGUGUAUAAAAAAUUUUAAAAAAAUCAAAAAAAGAGAUGGUAUUAUAAAAAAAUUUAAUAAAUAAAUUCAUAUGUUUUUAAAAAAUUUAUAUAAAAAUUCAGAAUAUGAAAGUAAAAAAAAAAUAAAAAUUUUUGAUCAAUAUUUUUUAUAAAUUAUAAAAAAUUAAGAAAAGAUUAGAAACAUAUAAUAAUGAAAAUAUUUAUCCAAUAAAAAAAUAAAAUUGAUAAAAAAAAGAAAUAAAUUUAAUAAUUAAAAAAAUAAAACUGAUAAAAAAAAUUAAUAAAAAAAAUAGAAUCAAAACGGGGGCGGCUCGCUGAGUGAGAGAGGGAGGUCAAAUUUGGCCAAAGGAAAAUGAAUUUAAUAAUAAAAAAAUAAAAUUAAUAAAAAAGUUAAUGAAAAAAAAUAGAACCAAAAAGGGUGCGGCUCGAUGAGAGAGAGAGAGGUCAAAUUUGGCCAACGGCUCCCAAAAAUAGUUUUCUUAUUGUGGGUAGUGGAGUCCACUUUUCCCUUCUAUUGGUCAAACAUUGGGCCCACACUCCAAUUAUCUUCUCCAUUUCUUCUUCUUAAUUUCCCUAACACUCUCCCCUUUUCCCGUAUUCUUACAAAUACGGCUAUUCCCCUGUAAUCUUUAAAAUAUCAGGGAUCUUACUUACUUUUAAAAUUAUUAUUAAUUUUUUUUUUUGAAUAUUUUUUUUUAAAAUAUUAUAUUAUUAUAAUAUAUUUUUUAAAUUUUUAUAUUUUAUUUUUCCUCUAUUACACCACUUAAAUGAAAUACUCCUAUCAAUUUUUUAAAUAUUUUUUUAUUUCUUAUAAUAAAUACUACAAAAACUGUUAGUAAUACGUGAUCAAUUUUUUUUGUAAUGAUUUUUUUUAAUUUUUUUAUACUAAGUAUAUUUGUUUUUAUGUAUUCUAGAGUUAGUUAAUUUCUGAAUAAGUUGGCAGUGUUUAUAUAUUUUUUUAAUAUAUCUAAAUUAAUUAAUGAUUGUGGAGCAAGUCCAUCUCAUUAGACUUAUUCUGGCAGUGGUUUCGAAAUCCUAUAGGCCUAAAAAUGAAAUCAAUCCAAAACAACAGUUCCAAAAAACGCUAUGUAAAAAUGUUACUUUAAUUUAGUACAAAUAAAAUUUUUUUAUUUUUGAUUACAAAUAAUUACAUAAAAAUAAAAAAAAUAAAAUUUACUAACAUUAAAUAAUCUACAAAUCUUAUUUUAUCUAACGAGUCCAUGAAAGACCAAAGAUUAUGCUUACAUUCUAAUUUCAAUAGAUUUUUUUUAUAUUUUCCUUAAAGGUAAUUCACUGUCUCCCCUGAGUUUACCGGUUAUAACAAAGUACCUCUGGCGUUUGAAAAAUUACAAUGACCUCCCUGAGGUUUUGAAACUUAUAACAGAUUUCGAUGCCAUUUUGCACUGACUCCUCAGACUCAAAAUAAACGUUGUUGUCAAAAAGAUAAAAGGAGUAAUUUUUGUCAGGGGUGCUUUGUAUAUUAACUCAAUACUUUUAGGGGUGGCGUGUAAAUAGAAGAAUCCGGUUACAAGUUUCAAACUUUAGGAAAAAUCAUUGUAUUUCUUAAACUUCGGGAUAUUUUUGGAGGCAGUGUAAUUUCCCUUUCCUACAAGAAUUAAAAUGCUAAAAGGUUUAUUAUUGUGGGCAUGGAGUCCAUUUUCCCUCUAUUGGUCAAAGCAUUGGCCGACCACAAUUAUCUUCUCCACUUCUUCUUCUUCUUAAUUAGGCUUCCUUGUAAUGCUUAAAACUCAGCCUUUUUUAAUUUACUAUAAAAAACUCAGAUUUUUAGUUUUUUUGUUUUUCUACUUUGCUUUAGUAACAUAAGCAAAUAGCAAAAAUAAAAAAGCAAAAAGUUAAUUCUGACUGACUUUUUUUCUUAUUUUAGGCCAAAAAAAAAAACAAAAAACUCAAAUAAACUAUUCCAACGUAGCCUUAGUCAAUCCCAUAUACACCACAA